rnacentral:rRNA from 1 species
AUACGUAGGGUGCGAGCGUUGUCCGGAAUUACUGGGCGUAAAGAGCUCGUAGGUGGUUUGUUGCGUCGUCUGUGAAAUUCCGGGGCUUAACUCCGGGCGUGCAGGCGAUACGGGCAUAACUUGAGUACUGUAGGGGAGACUGGAAUUCCUGGUGUAGCGGUGAAAUGCGCAGAUAUCAGGAGGAACACCGGUGGCGAAGGCGGGUCUCUGGGCAGUAACUGACGCUGAGGAGCGAAAGCAUGGGUAGCGAACAGGAUUAGAUACCCUGGUAGUCCAUGCCGUAAACGGUGGGCGCUAGGUGUAGGGGUCUUCCACGACUUCUGUGCCGUAGCUAACGCAUUAAGCGCCCCGCCUGGGGAGUACGGCCGCAAGGCUAAAACUCAAAUGAAUUGACGGGG